UACAGAGGGUGCGAGCGUUGUCCGGAAUCACUGGGCGUAAAGGGCGCGUAGGUGGUGGCUUAAGCGUGCGGUGAAAGCUCGGGGCUCAACUCCGAGUCGGCCGUGCGAACUGGGCUCACUGGAGCAUAGUAGAGGCAGGUGGAAUUCCGGGUGUAGCGGUGGAAUGCGUAGAGAUCCGGAAGAACACCGGUGGCGAAGGCGGCCUGCUGGGCUAUGGCUGACACUGAGGCGCGAAAGCGUGGGGAGCAAACAGG
rnacentral:rRNA from 1 species